CAAGUCGAACGGAAGUCGUUAUACUGAUUUUGAUAUGAACGGAGAACUUGUUCAAAGGGACUUGAGGAAGAUUUAUAACAAUGGCUUUAGUGGCGGACUGGUGAGUAACGCGUGAGCAACCUGCCUAUUAGAGGGGAACAACAGUUAGAAAUGACUGCUAAUACCGCAUAUGCCUAAGUACCACAUGGUACAAUAGGGAAAGGAGUAAUCCGCUAAUAGAUGGGCUCGCGUCUGAUUAGAUAGUUGGUGGGGUAACGGCCUACCAAGUCGACGAUCAGUAGCCGGACUGAGAGGUUCAACGGCCACAUUGGGACUGAGAUACGGCCCAGACUCCUACGGGAGGCAGCAGUCGGGAAUAUUGCGCAAUGGAGGAAACUCUGACGCAGUGACGCCGCGUGCAGGAAGAAGGUUUUCGGAUUGUAAACUGCUUUAGACAGGGAAGAAAAAGACAGUACCUGUAGAAUAAGCUCCGGCUAACUACGUGCCAGCAGCCGCGGUAAUACGUAGGGAGCGAGCGUUAUCCGGAUUUAUUGGGUGUAAAGGGUGCGUAGACGGGAAGGCAAGUUGGUUGUGAAAUCCCCAGGCUUAACUUGGGAACUGCAACCAAAACUAUCUUCCUUGAGUGCUGGAGAGGAAAGUGGAAUUCUAGUGUAGCGGUGAAAUGCGUAGAUAUUAGGAGGAACACCAGUGGCGAAGGCGACUUUCUGGACAGUAACUGACGUUGAGGCACGAAAGUGUGGGGAGCAAACAGGAUUAGAUACCCUGGUAGUCCACACCGUAAACGAUGGAUACUAGGUGUAGGGUGUGAUAAACGCUCUGUGCCGUCGCAAACGCAAUAAGUAUCCCACCUGGGGAGUACGGCCGCAAGGUUGAAACUCAAAGGAAUUGACGGGGGCCCGCACAAGCAGUGGAGUAUGUGGUUUAAUUCGACGCAACGCGAAGAACCUUACCAGGGCUUGACAUAUACAGGAAUAUAUUAGAGAUAAUAUAGCUCUUCGGAGUCUGUAUACAGGUGGUGCAUGGUUGUCGUCAGCUCGUGUCGUGAGAUGUUGGGUUAAGUCCCGCAACGAGCGCAACCCCUGUUCUCAGUUGCCAGCACAUAAUGGUGGGAACUCUGAGAAGACUGCCGGUGAUAAAUCGGAGGAAGGUGGGGACGACGUCAAAUCAUCAUGCCCUUUAUGUCCUGGGCUACACACGUACUACAAUGGCUGUAACAAAGGGAAGCGAAAGAGCAAUCUGGAGCAAAACCCAAAAAAGCAGUCUCAGUUCGGAUUGAAGGCUGAAAUUCGCCUUUAUGAAGCCGGAAUUGCUAGUAAUGGCAGGUCAGCAUACUGCCGUGAAUACGUUCCCGGGCCUUGUACACACCGCCCGUCACACCAUGAGAGUUGGGAAUACCCGAAGCCUGCGAGCUAACUUUUAGAGGCAGCAGUCGAAGGUAGAAUCAAUGAUUGGGGUGAAGUCGUAACAAGGUAA
rnacentral:rRNA from 1 species